ACUCAAAUGAAUAGACGGGGGCCCGCACAAGCGGCGGAGCAUGCGGAUUAAUUCGAUGCAACGCGAAGAACCUUACCUGGGUUUGACAUACGCCGGAAAGCCUCAGAGAUGAGGCCCCUUUAUUGUCGGUGUACAGGUGGUGCAUGGCUGUCGUCAGCUCGUGUCGUGAGAUGUUGGGUUAAGUCCCGCAACGAGCGCAACCCUCGUCCUAUGUUGCCAGCACGUCCUUCGGGAUGGUGGGGACUCAUAGGAGACUGCCGGGGUCAACUCGGAGGAAGGUGGGGAUGACGUCAAGUCAUCAUGCCCCUUAUGUCCAGGGCUUCACGCAUGCUACAAUGGCCGGUACAAAGGGCUGCGAUCCCGUGAGGGGGAGCGAAUCCCAAAAAGCCGGUCUCAGUUCGGAUUGGGGUCUGCAACUCGACCCCAUGAAGUCGGAGUCGCUAGUAAUCGCAGAUCAGCAACGCUGCGGUGAAUACGUUCCCGGGCCUUGUACACACCGCCCGU
rnacentral:rRNA from 1 species